rnacentral:rRNA from 1 species
GUGAGGAAUAUUGCGCAAUGGGCGAAAGCCUGACGCAGCGACGCCGCGUGGAGGAUGAAGGUCUUCGGAUCGUAAACUCCUGUCGAGCGGGACGAAUCCCGGAGGGCUAAUAACCUUCCGGUUUGACGGUACCGCUGGAGGAAGCCCCGGCUAACUCCGUGCCAGCAGCCGCGGUAAUACGGAGGGGGCCAGCGUUGUUCGGAAUCAUUGGGCGUAAAGGGCGCCUAGGCGGCCAAGCAAGUCGGAUGUGAAAGCCCCCGGCUCAACCGGGGAAUUGCACCCGAAACUGCUCGGCUCGAGUCCUGGAGAGGGUAGCGGAAUUCCCAGUGUAGCGGUGAAAUGCGUAGAUACUGGGAGGAACACCGGUGGCGAAGGCGGCUACCUGGACAGGUACUGACGCUGACGCGCGAAAGCGUGGGGAGCAAACAGGAUUAGAUACCCUGGUAGUCC